rnacentral:rRNA from 1 species
UACGAAGGGGGCUAGCGUUGUUCGGAAUUACUGGGCGUAAAGCGCACGUAGGCGGGUCCUUAGGGCAGGGGUGAAAUCCUGGAGCUCAACUCCAGAACUGCCUUUGAUACUGAGGAACUCGAGUUCGGGAGAGGUGAGUGGAACUGCGAGUGUAGAGGUGAAAUUCGUAGAUAUUCGCAAGAACACCAGUGGCGAAGGCGGCUCACUGGCCCGAUACUGACUCUGAGGUGCGAAAGCGUGGGGAGCAAACAGG